rnacentral:rRNA from 1 species
ACCCGUUGAUCCUGCGGGAGGUCGCUGCUAUCAGAAUUCGACUUAACUAAGCUAGCCCAGGGGCUUCUUCGGAAGCACCGGCAGACAGUUCCGUAACACGUAGAUAAUCUACCCUUAGGUCAGGGAUAACCUUGGAAAACUGAGGCUAAUACCUGAUAGGAGAAAGAUACUGGAAUGUACUCUCUCCCAAAGGUUACGCCUAAGGAUGAGUCUGCGGCUGAUUAGGCUGUUGGUGGGGUAAUGGCCCACCAAAACCUAAGAUCAGUAGGGGCCUUGAGAGAGGUAGCCCCGAGGAGGACACUGAGAUAAGGGUCCUGACUCUACGGAGUAUAGCAAGUGCGAAACCUUUACAAUACAUGAAAGUGUGAUAAGGGGAUUCUGAGUGCCUAUGCGUUGCAUAGGCUUUUGCCGAGAGUAAAAAUCUCGGAGAAUAAGUGGUGGGCAAGACUGGUGCCAGCAGCCGCGGUAACACCAGCGCCACAAGUGGGGACCCGUAUUAUUGGGCCUAAAGCGUCCGUAGCCGGUUUAGUAAAUCUUAUGUGAAAUCGUAGGGCUUAACCUUACGGCGUGCAAAAGACACUACUAAACUUGAGACCGGGAGGAGUCAGAGGUAUUUCUUGGGUAGCGGUAAAAUGCAAUAAUCCAAGGAGGACCACCUGUGGCGAAGGCGUCUGACUAGAACGGAUCUGACGGUGAGGGACGAAAGCCAGGGGAGCGAACCGGAUUAGAUACCCGAGUAGUCCUGGCCGUAAACGCUGCGAGCUAGGUGUUGCAUGUUCCUCGAGAAUAUGCAGUGUCGAAGCGAAGGCGAUAAGCUCGCCGCCUGGGAAGUACGGUCGCAAGACUGAAACUUAAAGGAAUUGGCGGGGGAGCACAACAAGGGGUGCGGCGUGCGGUUUAAUCCAACUCAACACGGAGAAUCUCACCAGAGGCGACGGCAGAAUGAAAGUCAGGUUGAAGACCUUACUCAACAAGCCGAGAGGUGGUGCAUGGCCGUCGUCAGCUCGUGCUGUGAAGUGUCCUGUUAAGUCAGGCAACGAGCGAGACCUGUACCUACAAUUGCCAUCAGCUGAAUUUCAGGACUGGGCACAUUGUAGGGGCUGCCCGUGAAAACGGGAGGAAGGUGCAGGCAACGGUAGGUCUGUAUGCCCCGAAUCCUCUGGGCUACACGCGCGCAACAAUGGUAGGGAUAAUGGGAUACAACUCCGAAAGGAGAAGUUAAACCUCGAAACCCUAUCUCAAUUCAGAUUGAGGAUUGUAACUCAUCCUCAUGACGACGGAAUCCCUAGUAAUCAGAUGUUAUCAUCAUCUGGUGAAUAUGUCCCUGCUCCUUGCACACACCGCCCGUCAAACCAACCGAGCAGGGUUAAGGUGAAACCUAGUUUCUUAAUUAGGUUGAAUCUUGACUCAGUGAGGUGGGUUAAGUCGUCACAAGGUA